rnacentral:lncRNA from 1 species
GGAACAAAAGCUCAAAUAUUUUUCAUCUUAAGGGAAAAUUGCUGCCUUGGAGGUCAAUGAGACCUCUGCUGCCAGAG